UACGAAGGGGGCUAGCGUUGCUCGGAAUCACGUGGGCGUAAAGCGCACGUAGGCGGCUUCUUAAGUCAGGGGUGAAAUCCUGGAGCUCAACUCCAGAACUGCCUUUGAUACUGAGUAGCUUGAGUCCGGGAGAGGUGAGUGGAACUGCGAGUGUAGAGGUGAAAUUCGUAGAUAUUCGCAAGAACACCAGUGGCGAAGGCGGCUCACUGGCCCGGUACGUGACGCUGAGGUGCGAAAGCGUGGGGAGCAAACAGGAUUAAGAAACCCGGGUGAGCC
rnacentral:rRNA from 1 species